UACGUAGGGUGCGAGCGUUGUCCGGAAUUAUUGGGCGUAAAGGGCUCGUAGGCGGUUUGUCACGUCAGGAGUGAAAACUCGGGGCUCAACCCCGAGCCUGCUUCUGAUACGGGCAGACUAGAGGUAUGCAGGGGAGAACGGAAUUCCUGGUGUAGCGGUGAAAUGCGCAGAUAUCAGGAGGAACACCGGUGGCGAAGGCAGGUCUCUGGGCCAUAACUGACGCUGAGAAGCGAAAGCAUGGGGAGCGAACAGG
rnacentral:rRNA from 1 species